rnacentral:rRNA from 1 species
GACGAACGCUGGCGGCGUGCUUAACACAUGCAAGUCGAACGGAAAGGCCCUGCUUUUGUGGGGUGCUCGAGUGGCGAACGGGUGAGUAACACGUGAGUAACCUGCCCUUGACUUUGGGAUAACUUCAGGAAACUUGGGCUAAUACCGGAUAUGAGCUCCUGCUGCAUGGUGGGGGUUGGAAAGUUUCGGCGGGUGGCGUUGGACUCGCGGCUUAUCAGCUUGUUGGUGGGGUAGUGGCUUACCUAGGCUUUGACGGGUCGCCGGCCUGAGAGGGUGACCGGGCACAAUGGGACUGAGAGACGGACCAGACGCCUACGGGAGGCAGCAGUGGGGAAUAUUGCACAAUGGGCGGAAGCCUGAUGCAGCAACGCCGCGUGCGGGAUGACGGCCUUCGGGGUGUAAACCGCUUUCGCCUGUGACGAAGCGUGAGUGACGGUAAUGGGUAAAGAAGCACCGGCUAACUACGUG